CUGAAGAAAUGUUGUUCCAGGGAGUGUCUGACUAGUUCUGCAGCUUGGCAAAAAAGCCAGACGUUACCUCAUAGCUGCGGCCAGACAGCCCAUUUCUAUGCCAGGCAACCACUGCAGAAGCACACAGCACAGGGCCCUGCUUGAUUAGCACUUCUGCUGUUUCGAGAGUCCUGGAGUGUUUUGUUCAAGGUACUUAAGGGAAGACCACCUUCAUCCAAGUCUGUCGAGAUCCAGAGAUGGUACAGCCAUGUCAGCCCUUCCUUUGCACAUCCCAAAAAAGACUGAGCAAGAAGUGACCAUCCUGGUGUAUGGGAUGAACUUGUCUAACACACAGCUCCAUAGCGCUUUGUACUGCCCAGCGGCUGCCUCCAAUCCCUGGGCCCUUCGCAGUCCAUGCUUUCACCACUGCAGUGGCCCAUAGGGACCUCCUCUCCUUGCCCCUUUCCAGGUUUAAUCUGCUUUUUGCUUCUCUGGAUGAGAAGCAGCUCAGGCCUUAGUGCAGCAUUAAGGAUGCACAGAACUGCUGAGGACUGUUGCUCCAGCAUCCACUGUUGGCCUCAAAGCUCCAAAACAUUCCCUGGACGUUGCUCAGGGGACUAUAAAUUUGCUUCUAUCUCUCCAGACUUUGAAGGACAGACAUUUUCUUUUACACAGACCUUCUCUGUUUUCAUUUCCUUUACUUAUCUGGAGCUGACACUUUAAUGCAGUUGGAAGCAGCCAGGCACUAAAAACAAAGAGAAAACCGAGUCCUUGACUUCUUCUGAGACUUGCAGCCUGUGUUUAAGGAGAAAAAAGAAUCCGACAAACAUAGAAAGUGCUUUUACAGAUUUGUCUUUUUGGCUUUUCUAAAACAUCAAAUAGAGCAAAGACUGGCGGGUUCUUCGAUUUCAUGAGAUACUAAAAAAUAAGAAUAAAGAUAUUAAAGGAAAGAAGCCAGGAAACAAAAGAAUCAGUACAUGAAGUGUUCCUUCAGUUUCUUGGGAAAAUGUACAGUGAGGCUCGAGACGGCCUGUCUGCAUUGCAAACCUUCACUUUGGGCUUCUGAAAAGCAUUUAACUAGAUACUUGACCCUCUGUGCGGAUAAUGUGUCUCCAAAAAGGAGCGAGGGAAGGAAGGAAGAAAGGAAAUGGUUUUGUUCCUAUUACCUUCAAAGACCGCAGCAUUUCUGCAGGGCUGCUGGGUGAGCUGGGGGAGGGCUCUGCCUCCUCCCUCCCCACUGCUGGGAGCUGUGCCCUGGCUCAGGGGGGCUGCGUUCCUUCCCAGCUGCUCAGUGCAGCUCAUUGCAGCGGGCUGCUGCUGCAAAGCAUUCCAAGGCUGAAAUCAAGGCUUUUCUGCUUUACGUUCAAGUACUGCAUAAGGCAAAAGUCAGUACCAGGGGAGAGUAGCAAGACAGCCAAACAUCCAGAAGCACUCUGAGCUGGGUAGGGUAAAUGACAGGACUUCCUAUGGCUAUUUACCCAUCCUGGGCAUCUCUGCAUGGCUGUAGCUUGCUUGCUCUUCUCUGGCACAGAGUUGACUGUUGGGACACGGGGCUGUAAGGCCCAAGCACACAGGUGGUGACGGUGCUUUCAGCAUAGGCAACAAGGUCAGGAAUGAGGGCAAUGAGCAGAGAUGGGGCAGCUGCGGGGACCAACAGCAGCUUGAAAAUAUUCAGAAAGCAGAUUGGGUGCUGGUUUGGCAAACAGUGCCCUCGUCAUCCCAGCAGGACUCGCCAUCCCUUCUCACAUCAGUGAGGACCACAGACUGCAACACGCAGCCGAUUGCUCAACCUCUCAGAUAAGGACUUGAGAUGUUUAUUUCAAGCAGUGAGUUCUGAAGCUCUGAUGCCCGGAAGAGGAAAACGAAGCAGGUCUUAAGCAUGAAGAGUGGCUCACGUGGGCCCUUCUGUUGGCACCAUGUGAGCCUGGCACAGGCAUGCAACAGGCGCAGAGCCGCGGCCGAACGCGUCCCGACUGCCAGCUGGACUUCAACCAGACAGCCAAAGGUGAAAUCUUAUCUCCAUGCCUGAGAGAAAACAGGAGGAGAUGCAGAUGGUCCCAAUAAACCAUUGCAGGAAACAAAGUGCGCUUGAUAAGGAGCAAGGGAAAAGGAGGACGAGAAUUCCUAAUGUCAGUGAUUGUGUUAAAGACUUUGACCAUACCUUAUGGGAAACUGCAAAGUUAAAAUAUAAAUAAACUGACUUUAAAACCUCAAUAUUGCAACAGUGGUGGCUGAGUUGAAUUUAAAUUACCUUCUGCAAUUCUUGGAAUGUCUACUGCUCUAAGAAAGUGUGAUGUUUUUUGUACCUCUUACAUAACUCUCUUGGUCAAUUUUCUGAAGCGGUAAAUUGAUUUUAGGCUUUAAGGCAAAAAUCAUCGGGCCUAUAACUGGCUCCUUACCAAGAAGAAGCAGGGCCUGGGCAUCAGGAAAGGCAGGGUGCUCCUCUCAAAGGCCUUUCCAGAGAUCCGAGCCCUUUUCCUGAAAGUCCCUGAGGAUGGAAGCAAGAUUUGGCUGGGAGCAUCUCAACAGGACCUGUCAUUUCCUUCCAUUUAUCUGCUGUAUGCAGUGCUGAGAGGGAAUCAUUCCCCAGCUCUAAAUCACUGUAGGUCUUGUAGGACAUAAUGCCAGAGACGAUGUGGUGCAUCUGUGCUUUGCAUUCUGAGAGACCUGUCGGCUAGAGGAAAAGGGGCUGCUCAUAAGCAGUGCAAACCAGACAGACGCACACCCAAGGCCUAAUUCGAAGGUUUUGCUUUGCCUUUACUAUCUCUAAAGGAAUGCAUACUGCAUCAGUUAGAGCACGGUCUAGCUUUGUGGCUCAGCAUUUUGGGAUAAGUCCUUGUAGACCUGCAACUUUCUUGUAUCUAUUAGAAUUAAUGCAGAAAUAAUAUGCUUCUACUGAACACAGAAUGAUUUGAUAAACCCUGGUAUGUAUCUUUGGUUGAUUUCUUCUUUUCCUCCUGAGGUGGUAUGUAAGACAAGUGAAUGUAAGGGACACUCUUAGACAGACUGCUGAUUCAUUUCUGAUUCAUAAAAAUAAACAGAUAGCAAGACA